AACUUUGCGCAGUGGCAGUAUCUUAGCCAGUGAGGUUCAUCCGAGGUGUGAUUAUUGCUAAUUGAAAACUUUUCUCAAUGCCCCACCAUGACAACUUGAAAUAUAGUUGGCAUUGGCAAUUUUUUUUUUUGAGUUGGAGUCUCA
rnacentral:snRNA from 1 species